rnacentral:sRNA from 1 species
ACCAGAUAUUGGGAAGUUCGGAUGUCAACGAAAGGGACUCCAACCAAGCCACGGUGAUACCCACGGUGCGUGCAUAAGCCAUAAGAAAGCAUAAGAAAACCGAAUAUCGAACAAUCCGACCAACGCAACUCGAACCGUCCGAAUACCGAAGAAACCAACUGAAUACCGAAUCUACCCAACCUAGUGGCUCAAUCCUCUACAUUAAGCGCUUACCUGCUAAAGUGCCUCACUGACACUCACCAACCAACACGCUGCAGCGAAUAGCUUAGAACACCAUCUUGAAUUGUACGUCGACGUAAUAUAACAGCUAUUGCCACUAUUAUGCCGCCCACAAUCACUAUGCAUACAAAGGCUAUAAUUAUAUUCACAUAGACUUCCAUUUUGCAAGGAUAUUUUAAUUACAAAAAACCCAAUUAGUUUUAGUGUUCCUUCAUUGGUAACAAAACAAACAAAAGAAAAAUGGUAAAAAUCCAAAAUAUUCACUCAAAAGGUAAUAGAGAACUAAAGUAGCAAAAUAACUGCCCGAAUAGCUAACACAAAAAUAAAAUCAUUUUUUAUAGAAAAACAAAAUAUAAUUAAUGAAGGCUGAUAUCAUUAAGAGCAUAAUGCCAGGCCUCAGUAUUAGUAAGCAAAUAUUGAAGAAAAAUA